AACGAACGCUGGCGGCAGGCCUAACACAUGCAAGUCGAGCGCCCCGCAAGGGGAGCGGCGGACGGGUGAGUAACGCGUGGGAACGUACCCUUUGCUACGGAAUAGCCUCGGGAAACUGGGAGUAAUACCGUAUGUGCCCUUCGGGGGAAAGAUUUAUCGGCAAAAGGAUCGGCCCGCGUUGGAUUAGGUAGUUGGUGGGGUAAUGGCCUACCAAGCCGACGAUCCAUAGCUGGUUUGAGAGGAUGAUCAGCCACACUGGGACUGAGACACGGCCCAGACUCCUACGGGAGGCAGCAGUGGGGAAUCUUAGACAAUGGGCGCAAGCCUGAUCUAGCCAUGCCGCGUGAGCGAUGAAGGCCUUAGGGUUGUAAAGCUCUUUCAGUGGGGAAGAUAAUGACUGUACCCACAGAAGAAGCCCCGGCUAAACUCCGUG
rnacentral:rRNA from 1 species